AUGAGGGGAUCUGACCAGGAUGAUGGAAUUGGAGUAGACGGUGACUGUUCUGGACCUUGCAUGGAUAUAAGUAACAAGGCUUCUGGGGAGAUCAAAAUUGCCUGUACUUACUCUGUUAGUUUCGAGGAAGAUAAAAAUAUCAGAUGGGCAUCUAGAUGGGACUAUAUUCUGGAGUCUAUGCCUCAUACUCACAUUCAGUGGUUUAGCAUAAUGAAUUCCCUGGUCAUUGUCCUCUUCUUAUCUGGAAUGGUAGCUAUGAUUAUGUUAUGGACACUGCACAACGAUAUUGCCAGAUAUAAUCAGAUGGAUUCUACGGAGGAUGCCCAGGGAGAAUUUGGCUGGAAACUAGUUCAUGGUGAUAUAUUCUGUCCUCCAAGAAAAGGGAUGUUGGUGUCAGUUUUUCUAGGAUCUGGGAUGCAGAUUUUAAUUACGACUUUUGUGACACUAUUUUUUGCUUGCCUGGGAUUUUUGUCACCUGCCAACCAAGGAGCGCUAAUGACAUGUGCUGUGGUCCUGUGGGUGCUGUUGGGCACCCCUGCAGGCUAUGCUGCCACCAAAUUCUAUAAGUCCUUUGGAGGUGAGAAGUGGAAAACAAAUGUUUUAUUGACAUCAUUUCUUUGUUCUGGAAUUGUAUUUGCUGACUUCUUUAUAAUGAAUCUGAUCCUCUUGGGAGAAGGAUCCUCAGUAGCUAUUCCAUUUGGAACAUUGGUUGUCAUAUUGGCCCUUUGGUUCUGCAUAUCUGUCACUCUGACAUUUAUUGGUGCAUACUUUAGUUUUAAGAAGAACGCCAUUGACCACCAGGUUCAAACCAAUGAGAUUCCACGUCAGAUUCUGGAACAGUCAUUCUAUAUAAAGCCCUUGCCUGGUAUUAUCGUGGGAGGGAUUUUGCCCUUUGACUGCAUCUUUAUACAGGUUUUCUUCAUUCUGAAUAGUAUUUGGUCGCAACAGAUGUUUUAUAUGUUUGGCUUCCUAUUUAUGGUGUUUAUAAUUUUGGUUAUUACAUGUUCUGAAGCAACUAUACUUCUUUGCUAUUUCCACCUAUGUGCGGAGGAUUAUCAUUGGCAAUGGCGUUCAUUCCUUACCAGCGAUUUUACUGCAGUUUAUUUCUUAAUAUAUGCAAUAUACUAUCUCUUUUCAAAACUGCAAAUCACAGGAACAGCAAGUACAAUUCUGUACUUUGGUUAUACCAUGAUAAUGGUUUUGAUCUUCUUUCUUUUUACAGGAACAAUUGUCUUCUUUGCAUGCUUUUGAUUUGUUACCAAAAUAUACAGUGAGGUGAAGGUUGACUGAAGAAGCCCAGUGUGUCCAGUUAAAACAGAAAUAAAUUAAAUUCUUCAU